rnacentral:rRNA from 1 species
UACGGGGGGUGCGAGCGUUGUCCGGAAUCACUGGGCGUAAAGGGCGCGUAGGUGGUUUGAUAAGGGUGUGGUGAAAGUCCGGGGCUCAACCCCGGAUCUGCCGUGCCGACUGUCAAACUUGAGGGCUGUAGAGGCAGACGGAAUUCCGGGUGUAGCGGUGGAAUGCGUAGAGAUCCGGAGGAAGACCGGUGGCGAAGGCGGUCUGCUGGGCAGUUUCUGACACUGAGGCGCGACAGCGUGGGGAGCAAACAGG